GAGGAUGUGGCUCAGUGGUAGAGUUCUUGCCUUGCAUGCACAAGGCCCUGGGUGCCAAUCCCCAGCCCCCCCA
rnacentral:tRNA from 1 species